rnacentral:rRNA from 1 species
UACGAAGGGGGCUAACGUUGUUCGGAAUUACUGGGCGUAAAGAGCGUGUAGGCGGCCAGGUAGGUCAGCUGUGAAAACUCGAGGCUCAACCUCGAGAUGUCGGCUGAAACCAUCUGGCUAGAGUCCGGAAGAGGAGAAUGGAAUUCCCGGUGUAGCGGUGAAAUGCGCAGAUAUCGGGAAGAACACCCGUGGCGAAGGCGGUUCUCUGGGACGGUACUGACGCUGAGACGCGAAAGCGUGGGGAGCGAACAGG